rnacentral:rRNA from 1 species
GGACCCGCACAAGUAGUGGAGCAUGUGGUUUAAUUCGAAGAUACGCGCAGAACCUUACCAACACUUGACAUGUUCGUCGCGACUCUAAGAGAUUAGAGUUUUCGGUUCGGCCGGACGAAACACAGGUGCUGCAUGGCUGUCGUCAGCUCGUGUCGUGAGAUGUUGGGUUAAGUCCCGCAACGAGCGCAACCCUCACUUUUAGUUGCCAUCAUUAAGUUGGGCACUCUAGCGAGACUGCCGGUGAUAAGCCGGAGGAAGGCGGGGAUGACGUCAAGUCCUCAUGGCCCUUAUGGGCUGGGCUACACACGUGCUACAAUGGCAGUGACAGAGGGACGCUACCAGGUGACUGAUGCAAA